UGUGUUUUGAAUUCAGGGGAUCUCGUAUUAAACACGGCAGCUUUUUGCACAUGUGUUUGUACAUAGAAACCUACGGCAGCUGUUUAGUGAGCUCGGUGGUUGGUCUGGGGAAAAAGAGUUGACAUUUUGUUUCUCUAAGAUGUGGAUUUGGACAAGAUUUGUGGAUGUUAUUCCUAAAGGCCAGGCACUUCACAAAACGGACGCCACGUCACGAGGUCCGUCACCCAGAGGGGCGAUGCUCCCGCCAGCAAAGGUCACUCGGAGAAGGUGUCGGGGAAAACCUUGCAGAGGCAAGGCAAGUCGCGUCAGUCACACGUCCAAGAUGAGGAGAGAUACGAACGGCAG